ACCAAAAGCAACUCAGAGGAGAGAAGGGU
rnacentral:piRNA from 1 species